GGGGUUAUAGUUUAAAAAUAAACGUUUAAUUUGCAAUUAAAAAAUGCUAUAAGCUUAUCUCA
rnacentral:tRNA from 1 species